ensembl:lncRNA
CACACCAGCAACACCACACCCCUCUCCGCCCCAACGCAGGCAGGUCUCCAGGGGACCAGCAGGACCCCACAGACGGGCAUCUUCGGAGGCCAGGUGACCCUGUCUCCGAGAUUGUCAACGUAAUGGUGCGUGAAAUGUCGUCCACUGUUUUCAUCGGGGAAUCUAAGAGUUUUGAGCUAAGAAAACAAUGAAAGGAGCGCACAAAGCGAUUGUGGCAAAGUCCUUUGGAGAAUGGGGAAGCGGCUCUCUGAGGGGCAGGGCCAUGGCGAAGCCGGAUGAGCUGUCCGAGGAGAGCGCAGAGCAGGAGAUCCUUUCCAAGCGCCGCACCUGUGGACCCCCGCAACAACAAGACAUGUGAAGGGAAGAAUACCAAGAUGGAGGAGAAGAGAGCGAAGGAGAUGAAGAGAAAGCAGGAGAGGCAGCAGCAGCAGAAGAAGAAGAGAGAGCAAUACUUUGGAGUGUUCUAUUUUCCUAAGCCUUCUUAGGUUAUGCGACUGAGCCGUUGCCGUUGUGUGAAAUUUUUAUCCCAAUACUGGCACUGUUUCCCCUGUGAGGGAGUCUAGGUUUUACUUAGCGCCUUUUGCUGGCAUUUUCCGAAGAUAGCAUAUGCACAUACACUGUCCAUGAUCGGAUUAACUGUUCGGCUCGGAAAGAAAAUGAUGUAACUCUUUUGUCUUUUCUUCUCGUGGCAGAGGUUUUUCCCUGCUAAUGUUUCGUGUUGGUCAGCUCAG